GAUGAACGCUGGCGGCGUGCCUAAUACAUGCAAGUCGAGCGAACGGACGAGAAGCUUGCUUUUCUGAUGUUAGCGGCGGGCGGGUGAGUAACACGUGGAUAACCUACCUAUAAGACUGGGAUAACUUCGGGAAACCGGAGCUAAUACCGGAUAAUAUUUUGAACCGCAUGGUUCAAAAGUGAAAGACGGUCUUGCUGUCACUUAUAGAUGGAUCCGCGCUGCAUUAGCUAGUUGGUAAGGUAACGGCUUACCAAGGCAACGAUGCAUAGCCGACCUGAGAGGGUGAUCGGCCACACUGGAACUGAGACACGGUCCAGACUCCUACGGGAGGCAGCAGUAGGGAAUCUUCCGCAAAGGGCGAAAGCCUGACGGAGCAACGCCGCGUGAGUGAUGAAGGUCUUCGGAUCGUAAAACUCUGUUAUUAGGGAAGAACAUAUGUGUAAGUAACUGUGCACAUCUUGACGGUACCUAAUCAGAAAGCCACGGCUAACUACGUG
rnacentral:rRNA from 1 species